CAAGUGAAGAAGCGCAUACGGUGGAUGCCUUGGCAGUCAGAGGCGAUGAAAGACGUGGUAGCCUGCGAAAAGCUUCGGGGAGUCGGCAAACAGACUUUGAUCCGGAGAUCUCUGAAUGGGGGAACCCACCUAGGAUAACCUAGGUAUCUUGUACUGAAUCCAUAGGUGCAAGAGGCGAACCAGGGGAACUGAAACAUCUAAGUACCCUGAGGAAAAGAAAUCAACCGAGAUUCCCUUAGUAGUGGCGAGCGAACGGGGAUUAGCCCUUAAGCUUCAUUGAUUUUAGCGGAACGCUCUGGAAAGUGCGGCCAUAGUGGGUGAUAGCCCCGUACGCGAAAGGAUCUUUGAAGUGAAAUCGAGUAGGACGGAGCACGAGAAACUUUGUCUGAACAUGGGGGGACCAUCCUCCAAGGCUAAAUACUACUGACUGACCGAUAGUGAACCAGUACCGUGAGGGAAAGGCGAAAAGAACCCCGGAGAGGGGAGUGAAAUAGAACCUGAAACCGUAUGCGUACAAGCAGUGGGAGCCUACUUGUUAGGUGACUGCGUACCUUUUGUAUAAUGGGUCAGCGACUUAUAUUCAGUGGCAAGCUUAACCGUAUAGGGUAGGCGUAGCGAAAGCGAGUCUUAAUAGGGCGUUUAGUCGCUGGGUAUAGACCCGAAACCGGGCGAUCUAUCCAUGAGCAGGUUGAAGGUUAGGUAACACUGACUGGAGGACCGAACCCACUCCCGUUGAAAAGGUAGGGGAUGACUUGUGGAUCGGAGUGAAAGGCUAAUCAAGCUCGGAGAUAGCUGGUUCUCCUCGAAAGCUAUUUAGGUAGCGCCUCAUGUAUCACUCUGGGGGGUAGAGCACUGUUUCGGCUAGGGGGUCAUCCCGACUUACCAAACCGAUGCAAACUCCGAAUACCCAGAAGUGCCGAGCAUGGGAGACACACGGCGGGUGCUAACGUCCGUCGUGAAAAGGGAAACAACCCAGACCGCCAGCUAAGGUCCCAAAGUUGUGGUUAAGUGGUAAACGAUGUGGGAAGGCUUAGACAGCUAGGAGGUUGGCUUAGAAGCAGCCACCCUUUAAAGAAAGCGUAAUAGCUCACUAGUCGAGUCGGCCUGCGCGGAAGAUGUAACGGGGCUCAAACCACACACCGAAGCUGCGGGUGUCACGUAAGUGACGCGGUAGAGGAGCGUUCUGUAAGCCUGUGAAGGUGAGUUGAGAAGCUUGCUGGAGGUAUCAGAAGUGCGAAUGCUGACAUGAGUAACGACAAUGGGUGUGAAAACACCCACGCCGAAAGACCAAGGGUUCCUGCGCAACGUUAAUCGACGCAGGGUUAGUCGGUUCCUAAGGCGAGGCUGAAAAGCGUAGUCGAUGGGAAACAGGUUAAUAUUCCUGUACUUCUGGUUACUGCGAUGGAGGGACGGAGAAGGCUAGGCCAGCUUGGCGUUGGUUGUCCAAGUUUAAGGUGGUAGGCUGAAUCUUAGGUAAAUCCGGGGUUUCAAGGCCGAGAGCUGAUGACGAGUCGUCUUUUAGAUGACGAAGUGGUUGAUGCCAUGCUUCCAAGAAAGCUUCUAAGCUUCAGGUAACCAGGAACCGUACCCCAAACCGACACAGGUGGUCGGGUAGAGAAUACCAAGGCGCUUGAGAGAACUCGGGUGAAGGAACUAGGCAAAAUGGCACCGUAACUUCGGGAGAAGGUGCGCCGGCUAGGGUGAAGGAUUACUCCGUAAGCUCUGGCUGGUCGAAGAUACCAGGCCGCUGCGACUGUUUAUUAAAACACAGCACUCUGCAAACACGAAAGUGGACGUAUAGGGUGUGACGCCUGCCCGGUGCCGGAAGGUUAAUUGAUGGGUUAGCGCAAGCGAAGCUCUUGAUCGAAGCCCCGGUAACGGCGGCCGUAACUAUAACGGUCCUAAGGUAGCGAAAUUCCUUGUCGGGUAAGUUCCGACCUGCACGAAUGGCGUAACGAUGGCGGCGCUGUCUCCACCCGAGACUCAGUGAAAUUGAAAUCGCUGUGAAGAUGCAGUGUAUCCGCGGCUAGACGGAAAGACCCCGUGAACCUUUACUGUAGCUUUGCACUGGACUUUGAGCCUGCUUGUGUAGGAUAGGUGGGAGGCUUUGAAGCGUGGACGCCAGUUCGCGUGGAGCCAUCCUUGAAAUACCACCCUGGCAUGCUGAGGUUCUAACUCUGGUCCGUAAUCCGGAUCGAGGACAGUGUAUGGUGGGCAGUUUGACUGGGGCGGUCUCCUCCUAAAGAGUAACGGAGGAGUACGAAGGUGCGCUCAGACCGGUCGGAAUCGGUCGCAGAGUAUAAAGGCAAAAGCGCGCUUGACUGCGAGACAGACACGUCGAGCAGGUACGAAAGUAGGUCUUAGUGAUCCGGUGGUUCUGUAUGGAAGGGCCAUCGCUCAACGGAUAAAGGUACUCCGGGAUAACAGGCUGAUACCGCCCAAGAGUUCAUAUCGACGGCGGUGUUUGGCACCUCGAUGUCGGCUCAUCACAUCCUGGGGCUGAAGCCGGUCCCAAGGGUAUGGCUGUUCGCCAUUUAAAGUGGUACGCGAGCUGGGUUUAGAACGUCGUGAGACAGUUCGGUCCCUAUCUGCCGUGGACGUUUGAGAUUUGAGAGGGCUGCUCCUAGUACGAGAGGACCGGAGUGGACGAACCUCUGGUGUUCCGGUUGUCACGCCAGUGGCAUUGCCGGGUAGCUAUGUUCGGAAAAGAUAACCGCUGAAAGCAUCUAAGCGGGAAACUUGCCUCAAGAUGAGAUCUCACUGGGAACUUGAUUCCCCUGAAGGGCCGUCGAAGACUACGACGUUGAUAGGCUGGGUGUGUAAGCGUUGUGAGGCGUUGAGCUAACCAGUACUAAUUGCCCGUGAGGCUUGACCA
rnacentral:rRNA from 1 species